UAGGGAAUCUUCGGCAAUGGACGAAAGUCUGACCGAGCAACGCCGCGUGAGUGAAGAAGGUUUUCGGAUCGUAAAACACUGUUGUUAGAGAAGAACAAGGACGUUAGUAACUGAACGUCCCCUGACGGUAUCUAACCAGAAAGCCACGGCUAACUACGUGCCAGCAGCCGCGGUAAUACGUAGGUGGCAAGCGUUGUCCGGAUUUAUUGGGCGUAAAGCGAGCGCAGGCGGUUUCUUAAGUCUGAUGUGAAAGCCCCCGGCUCAACCGGGGAGGGUCAUUGGAAACUGGGAGACUUGAGUGCAGAAGAGGAGAGUGGAAUUCCAUGUGUAGCGGUGAAAUGCGUAGAUAUAUGGAGGAACACCAGUGGCGAAGGCGGCUCUCUGGUCUGUAACUGACGCUGAGGCUCGAAAGCGUGGGGAGCAAACAGG
rnacentral:rRNA from 1 species